rnacentral:rRNA from 1 species
UCGAGAAUCUUCGGCAAUGGGCGCAAGCCUGACCGAGCGACGCCGCGUGCGAGAUGAAGGCCUUCGGGUUGUAAAUCGCUGUCAGAGGGGAGGAAAUGCCGGUGGGUUCUCCCACCGGUUUGACCUAGCCUCAGAGGAAGGACGGGCUAAGUUCGUGCCAGCAGCCGCGGUAAGACGAACCGUCCAAACGUUAUUCGGAAUCACUGGGCUUAAAGGGUGCGUAGGCGGUCCGGGAAGUUGGGUGUGAAAGCCCUCGGCUCAACCGAGGAAUUGCGCCCAAAACUGCCGGGCUUGAGGGAGACAUAGGUGAGCGGAACUUAGGGUGGAGCGGUGAAAUGCGUUGAGAUCCUAAGGAACACCAGUAGCGAAAGCGGCUCACUGGGUCUCUUCUGACGCUGAAGCACGAAAGCUAGGGGAGCGAAGAG